UAAGUAAUUUGAGUGCUGAAUUGCAUGGUCAAUCGGAAUUACGGCUAGAGGUUGUCUAGGCCGUAUACUGAAUCUGAAACUAACUUCCUUAAUUCAUGCCUACUGUUUCAUGUAUUGGUCAAAUUUUAUUAUAAGGUGUUAUUUUCAAUUUAUUUUUAAAAAAAAAUCCUGCUGAAUUAAUUUUACUAGCUCAAUUAACCUCAGUUAUGAGUUCAGUUUAUUUUCAGUUUGGGCCUUUUGAACAGGCCCACCUUCAUUCAAGCUUACUAAAAUUCUCUAGUUUGAAUUUGAGCUUAAAUGCCUUAAUUCAUAGUUUAAAUGUAAAUUUGGGCCUUCGAGUUAGGUAGCGAAUUUGAGUUAAGAGGGUCACGCUUUUCUUUGAAUCCGGACUUGAAUUUGAGGCUCCAAUUCUAAUAAUAUUAAUUAACCAAGCCCGUUUAGAGACAAAUUGAAUAGAAAAUCGUAGUUUGCUUUAGGUUGGCCUUUAAAUAAUAAAUGAGGUGCGCCUCACCAAAUAAAAAAUGUAUAAAUUGCGUAGCCCUCUUAAAUGCUUGUAUUAAAAAUACUUAGAAUUUGGGGCGUGCCAUUUGGCGAAUUUCACGGCCUCCCGCAAAUCUAAUUGCACGUUAGUCGCUUUAGGCACAUUUUUAAAUAAUCUUACCUUCCUAAAAUACGGGUGUGCUUUUUAUACGACCCAAAUCCAAAUCCCAAAAUUUUCAAUAAAAAUGUGUCGAUGAUCUGGGUGCAUUUCAUGUGGCGUGAUCCAAAAAUAUGUUUUUAAACAACGUUCACUUUCUUAAAAAUUUAAUUAAAGCGGUAAAUAAUAUUUAAAAUUGCAUUAUAUGAUGAACAUGUAUAAAAAAUUAGAUUUUAGCCAUUCAUAAUAGUUUAAGCGACCGUGCUAGAACCACGGGAUCCGGGGGUGCCUAACACCUUCCCCCGGGUCAACAGAAUUCCUUACGUAGAAUAUUGGUUCGCAGACUCCAAUUGGGAAGUCAAAAAUUUUCCUCGAUUCAGGAUUCAAAAUAAAUUGGUGACUUGGGACACCAAAAACCAAACUCAUCCCAAGUGGCGACUCUGAUUGAAUAAAUAAUCCCGAUUCGAAUGGUGUCACUUAAAAUGGAAAUACUCUCUUAUACACUAUCCCCCGAGGUGGGUAUGAAAAAAGGAGGUGUGACACCGGGUCCCAGCAUGUGACCAAUGCCCUUAUGAUGUCCCCCCGAGGCAUAAUUUCCAACAAACCGAUGAGCCCUUUCAAAUAUUUUUUGACUUCAUCUUGCCCUUCUCCUCCUAGAUCUUUCCACCACAGACGCAACUCUAGAGAGAUUUUAUUCAUGAUUGAGAAUAGUUCAUUUUGAACAAUGCUCAUCCUGCAUAUUUAUUAUGGUUAUUUAUCACUUAUUUGACCUAAAAGGGAAAAAUGACACUAUUUUAUUCAAAUUUCUAAUUUAAAACAAACAACCGGUUUUGAAGAUACGACCUUUUAGUCCUUCGGGAAGAAGAACUUAAGGUUUUUCCCGCUAACCAUUGAAAAUGCCCCAAAGUGAUUGUUCUUGCAAAAACAGCCUUUCCGCGUCCUUUUGAGGACAUUCGGCUUAUUUUAGACAAUAAUGGCCUCACCUAACUUAUUCAUAUGAUAAAAUUAAAAUUUUUAUUGUUUUGGGAUACUUUUGCAAAAGGGGAAGUUGAACCCGAUGUGGGUUGCCUACGUAUCCCACACCAUGUGAGAAUCAAACUGCCAUAGCUCGGGCAAAUAAAACAAACUAUUUUUGAAAACAAGACUCUUUUUUAUAUAUUAUUUUCAGUGGAAAAUAAAAGAAACUAUUUUGAAAAUAAAACUCUUUUAGUUUUUCUUUUUCACUGGCAAAUAAAACAAACUAUUUUGAAAAUAAAACACUUUUCUUUUUUCAUUUUUCUCGAAAAUCUGGCAGAGUUUCGGCACUAUUUGGAUAUUGAUUUUAAAAUAAAUAGGUAAUUAACUCUCUACACUGUUAUUUCUCUGUUUUUCUCUCUUUUCUCAAUUUUCCAAUAUUCUAAAAAUCAGCCAGCAUGCAAGUCCAAAGCAAAUAAAUGCACAAGUAGCACGUAAGAUGCAUCAGGAUGGUCUUUUCAUUUCAGGUUACCUGCCUUAGAUGGACCCUACCCUGUGUUGAGUCUUUUCAUUUCAUGUUACCUGUCUUAGACGGACCCAACCCCUGUGUUGAGUUCCCUAAGUCAUAUGCACGUAAGGCAAAUAAGCGUUCCUACUAGGGAUCUGGCAUGAAUUCAAGUUAUUCUAGGUUCAAAACCUGGGUAUAUGUUCUAAACUAUGUACCCAAGCGGACGACUCGAGUCGAUAAGAAGGCUUAACCAGUGAGCACAUCCCCGGAGAUGAGAACAGAAGGGUCUCGUCACAGUUUAUAUACAUUCCAACUAAUAUCAAAGCGGUAAAGCAUUUAGCAUGAAAAAUGUAGGAAAAUCAGAUAAAGUCAUAUAUAACAUUUAUUCUAAGUUCAAAUUCUUAAACCCUGAAUCGAAGUUCCGAGUUUGUAUCCCCAUCAGAGUCGCCAGAGCUGUCACACCACCUUUUUCCUACACCCCGAAAGGGUAUAAAGGAGUUUUUUCAAUUAAAGGACAAUCGGAACAAAAUUUAUUAUUAAAAAUUCAGAGUCACCACUUGGGAGAUUAAUGGUGUCCCAAGUAACCAGUUGAAUCCCGAAUCGAGGAAAUUAUUGACUCUGUUUAUCAGUCCGCGAACCAUAAAUCUAAGUAAGAAAUUCUGUUAACCCGAGAGAAGGUGUUAGGCAUUCCGGGGUUCCGUGGUUCUAGCACAGUCGCUCAACUGUCAUAUUUGGCUUAUUUAUCUGAUUUAAAACAUGUUUUAAACUAUGCACUUUGUAACUUUAAACUGCUUUUAUUAUUUUAAAGAGAAUUACAACGUUGUUAAAACACGUCUCAAACCACGUCACAUAAAUGCACCCGUGGUUUUUGACACAUUCAAACUUCGCUGGGAUUUGAACUUGGAUCACAUAAAUGUGCACCCGAGUUUAGGAAGGUAAUAUAACUAAAUGUCGGGCCAAAAGAAACUAACGUAUUAUUAACUUUGCGGGAAGCUAUAAAAUUCACUAAAUGGCGCGUUGCGAGGGUUAAAUAUUUUUCAUAGAAACAGUUAAGAGGGCCACGCUAUUCCUGCAUUUUAUUUGGCGUGGCGCAUCUCGUUUUUAUUUUUAAGGCCAUCUUAAAAGAAUUACGAUUUUCUAUUAAGAUUGUCUCUAAAAACCUAUGGAUUAAUCGUUAUGUAAAGUUCUAAAUAUGCUCAGGCCCAAACUUAAACAAAGGGAAUUUAUAUUGCUAAAAAAACCUCUUAAGUCGAAUCUGUUGCCUCGAAUUGAAGGCCCUCGCUAAUGUUGCAAACUGAAACCCAAACAAAUAGAAUUCCAAGCCCUUAGCAUUUCAGGCUUUAAAUUUAGCUCAUACAAGAGGCGGUUUAGCCUUGGGCUUCAACACAAGCCCAAUUCGGAGCUACAAAAUGCACUGGUCCAGCUGGGACUUCUUAUUAAAUACCAGGCUCGAUAUUCGGCCUAGUUUUACAGUCCAAGCAAUACGUGUAAGUCUAGGUGAAAUCAACGUAAGUGUAGAAGUAUGUGAUUUACCAUUUGAUCAUCUAAUUUGGUACUUUGAACAUUGACUAUCCGUUACUCCAAUUUACUAGUUAGCUACCUUUAAAUUUCAAUUUAAAUGGACAUAUCAACAAUGACAACCUAUGGGAUACAUGAUUUUAUUUUUAUUAGUCCUAUCACCUGUUAACUGGUAGAAAUGAAAACAGUGUAAACUAACCAAUCCAUUCUACCAUCUAAUUUAAAAUUUAGACAAAACUUUAUACUAGAAUCCGGAAUCAACUAGUAAUGAGUGUAGGAGUAAAAAAUUAUUCAAUACAUUAGAUCAAAUGUUCAAAUUAUCAUGAACUCAUAGAAUUGUACUUAAACCACUAGCGUUCGAAACUAAAUAGCAAUAUGUCACAGUCCAUAGUUCACAAUUAAUUAACAUGAAUACUUAGGCAUAUCAAAGAGCUCACAUAGUACAAAACAAAACAGAAUCUAUAAGGAAUUCAACAUCAACUUCAUAUCAUCUCGUUUUCAACUUGAGAGAUACAUUGGAUCGAAUUCAAAAAGUGUACCUGGAAGUAGAAUGAAAUGUAAGCGAAGAGAGGAAUCAGCAACAACAAGCAACAGUCACAAACCAGAGUUUCAACCCAAAACAAUGUCACAGCAACCAAGAAUGAUUUGCAUAGGAAUAAACAACAAUAAACCACUGAAAACAGAUCAACCUAAGCCCAAGCAAACUCGAAAUUAUCCAGAAUCCUUCUGAAUUUGAACUAAUGAAAUCUGGAAGCACUAAAACUAUUUUUGGACCUUCUAUGAACUUGAGAGUUUGAUCUAAAGCUAAAACUCAAAUUUAAUUUAAGAAAAAAACUCGAAUAAAGUAGUAUUUUUGGAGUUUUUUUCUAUUUUUUCCGGAUUGUUUUGAGGAACUAAGAUCUAAGAUGAGUUUCCUAGCUCUAAAAUUUAGAUCUGGUUUUUGGAUUUGAUAUUCAAAAUUUUCAGAUUGCCAAUGUUGCAGAAGGCUUUUUGGGAGAAAUUUUUCAGAUAUGAACUUUUUGGGGGAAUUUUCAGGCGCUAAACCUAUGUAACAAGGCAAUAGGCAUGCUUUUUUAUAGGUAAAGUCUAAGGCUGCCUUCAGAUUGCUAUUUACACCUUUAGUCCCUCUUUUAUUUUUAGAUUUUAACUGUUUAGUCCUUUAUUUGUUAGCUUGUUGCUCGAUUCACAUUAUUAAGUUCUUCAAACUAUAAUUAAAACCCUAUCUAGAUGCUUCUAGGGAAUUCUAUUUCAGUUACUAUAAGAUUCUUUUAUCUAAAAGCCUAUACUACCCUUGAAUUUAAUCUGAUAUUACUAAGACCAGCCUAGCCCUUUUUACCCUAGUUAAAUUUGACUAUAGUUACUCAAAGAUUUUGAAUUAUUCAGCUAUAUCCAAACAACUAAUAGAAAUCCUAACAAUUAAACUAAUUAAACAAAACUAAAAUUUAACUCUAAUUAAUACUAAUAUUCUAAAGCUAAUUCUACCAGUAAACUACAGUAACAAACCAAUGAUUAACCAAAUCUAUUUCCUUAAUCCUAAAUUGACCCUUAUCAAUUCAAAUUAAUAAAUCAUAGGCAAACAUCAAUUAAACAGGAAUCCAAACACCCAAUUGUAAAUCUAACGGCCAAAAUAUGAAUCACACUAAAAGGAAAAAAGCUAAACCUAAUAAAAGGAAUUUAAAAGAGCUAAAACAAAUUCUAUGAACAUACCAGGAAGACUAAUAAUAUCAAAAGAAAAAAUCAAGAAAUAAGAUGAACCCUAACUCAUAUACUGAAGAAAGGUAGGUAAGAACCAACAAGAAAAAGGAAAACUGGAUUUAAAACUAAUAGAAAAAAAAUUCAAAUAUUAAACGAAAAACAAAACUAGAAAACUUACCAAUUUUGAACUUGGACACAACUGCAUUUCUGAUUUCAACCACAAGAUGAUAUCAAUCAACCAUUCUUGUCAAGAAUUGUCAAAUAAUAUCAUCUCAUGGUGAAAUUAUGCCUAAAACUUGUAGAGAAACGGAGAAGAAACUAAACCCGCUCAGGUUCCAGAUUUUACAUUCUAUAUUCAAGAAGUUUGGGGAACCUUUGAAGGGAAAGGGGUGCGGGUUAGUGAUGUGGGGGUAGAGGUGAACCUAUGAUGUAAAUUUGGUAGGGAUUGGGGGUGGCGCCUCCAUACACGGCGGAGGUGGCCCUAGGGUUUGGAUUAUUUGAAGAGUUGGAGUGUGAUUUAAAAGAAACUAAGGCUAGAUUCAGACUGGGAGAUGAAGAAAAGGCUAUGGUGUAAUUUUGGAGGGGUUUGGAUGAUCACCGCCGCCGUGGGGUGAUUUCCAGUGGCGAUUUCAGUCGGAGCCGACGAAGAGCGUCUCUAAGGUGAGUGGGUAAUACAAUUUGGCGUGGGUAAAAUUUAAGGGGAAUUAGAGGGGUUUAGGCUCGGUCUUUGGCCCAAAACUAGAUGGCCUGAUUUACCCCCAUUUUUUUAAUUUAAAUCAAUUAAUAAAUUUUUUUGUUGGUUUUCUUUCUUCUUUUUAUAUAUUUUCUGAUUUUUAUUAAAUGCAAAAUUAAAAUUAAAAGACCCAAAUUGAAUCUAAAAUGAUAAUAAUUAAUUUCCAAAUAAACUAAUUCCUAAUUUAAAAUCAAACUAAGACAAAUUAAAAGUAUAAAUGCAAAAGUACCAUUUUUGUUAUUUUCUUUGUUUUUGAAGUAGUUUAAUUACUAAUUAAUCUUAAAAUAUAAAAUUCAACCCGAAAUGUAAAUGCCAAGUAUUUUUUGUAUUUUUUAUUAUUCAAAAUACACAAAUAAAAUGCAAUUAAUUAACAUGAAAUGUCACAAAAAUUCACAAAAUUGCAAAUAAUGAAAGAAAAUUAUUUUGUUUUGAAAUUAUGGGAGUAACCCAUGUAGGAAAAAAAUUACGUGCUCACAGUUUUUCCAAUUCUGAUUAUUCCCUUGCGAUCUCCAUAGUUGAUUUGGAGCUUUACCUCGUUAUCCUUAAUAGUUGUUGGUAUACAAAACCUCUUAACUUUGCUAGCAAUACCCAUCAUGUUGGUUGUAAACAUUACCACCUUGCUCAUAUUUGUCUUGUGAUAAUUUUUUGAACAAGCAUGAGCAUGAAUCAAACACAAAUUUAGUGCAGAAUAGAGUCAGAGUGUGACUUGUAGGCUAAAAGAAUUUUAAAAAAAUCGGGACUCUGAGAAAAUUGGCGUACCGCAUCGCGUACAACACUGCAUGGGCUACUGCGCUAGGCCAAACAAGCAAAAUAUGACAGAACCAACUCUCUGGAAAAAGCCACUACCACGCCGCACCCAGUGAUGCAUCAAUACAAAUUUACGAAAAAAAUAUUAAUUAUAAUUUUUUUAGAACCUGAACUCUAACACCCACGACACCAUUUCUUUCUUUCCCCAUUCUUUCAUCUUACUACUUUCUAACUAUUUCCAAUCCCUCACCCCAAACCCCUUUCUUCUUCUUCUUCUUCUUCUUCUUCUUCUUCUUCUUCAACAAUUUAAUUCCACUCUAACUCCCCACCUUUACCAGUCCAAUUUCAAGGUAAGUUAUACUUCUCUUACUUGUAGUAUUUAGUUAGUUUGAGUUUAAGUUCUAUAACCCUAGGUAUUUUAUUUUGUGCUAAUUUUUUUUAGCUAUAUGUCUGUGACCCAUCUAAUUUAAUGUAUCUUAGUCAAUCACUUUAAGCAUGUAUUUAUAUUUCUUUGAAAACCACAUGACAAGCAUUACCCAUUUGUUCGAAUUGAUCAUCUGUUUGAACCUUUACCUCUCGUAAACACUUAAAAUCGCUAUGAUCUUGUAAUAGCUAAGUGGAGGUAUGGUUGGAUUUUUAAUUGGAACUAUAGGAAAAGGAGAAAAGUGUAGUGAUUGAAAAAUUAGGAGAGCUACUUGUAGAAAAAUUUUAAAAAAAAGUUUGAUUGGAAAAAGAAGAAAAUUCAGAACUUAGAGAAAAAAUGAAUUCUCUAACACCUCUCACCCCUUUUUCCUUCUUUUCACAGCCUCUCAUAUUACUACUUUCUAACUAUUCCCUUUCCUUUACUCCAAAUCCCUUUCUUCUUUUCUUCUUCAGUUUACUUCCACUCCAACUCCCAACCUUCACCACUUUAAUAUUAAGGCAAGUUCUCCUUCUCUUAGUUGUAGUAUUUAGUUAAUUUGAGUUUAAGUUCUCUAACCCUGGGUAUUUUAUUUUAUGUUAAUUUUCUUAGCUAUUUUUUUAUUUGGAUGAAUUUCUUGCAUAAAAUUGUGGGUUUUCAUUGUUGUUAUGAUUAUAGGUUAUUUUUGGUGUGUUUUAAUGGUGUAGAAUAAAUUUAUGUUGAAACUUGGUGAGGGUGAUCAAAUGGCCGAAAAUUAAUAAAGGUUGGUGUAAAUUUUAUGCACUUGCUGCUAUUGUGAAGAUGUGGUGAUGUCGUAGUUGUGGUGUGAGGUGUAUUUGAUUUUGUUGUAUGGUGAUUCUAACCCACUUUGAAUGAAAAUAAGGUGCAAGAUAUGCCCACAAUGUGGUUGUUGAAAUGUCUUAAUGACAUAAAAUUGUAUAGUGUUACAAAUUGAGAAAGGAAGUGCCUUGUGGGAUGUGAUGCUUGAUGAUAAAUGUGGGGUGGGAUGCCAUGUUCUUAUGUUGUGAAACUUUGACUUGUUAGCCUCGAGUUCUAAUUGAUUGACCACCCCAUGCUCAUAUGUUGCUAGGUACCAAAUGAGGUGUCUGAUUCAUGCUAUUGUGCUUGUGUAGUGUUGUCGUGUAUAUUAAUUUUGUUGGUAGUGACUUAGACUAACUUCUUAUUCUUCUUUUCUUGCUUACUAGCUUAGCUUCUUAAUAUUAUCCUUUACACUAGUUCCGGUGCUUAUGUUGUUGGAAUGUUGUGUUGCUGGUUGGGUUUUGUUGAACAUGCUGGGUGUGCAUUCAACGGGGUAGUUUGAGCCCCAUCUAUACAUUGUACUAGUGAACUUUCCAAUAACAGAAGUGUGGGGUGGUUACCCCAUUUGGUCUUGUUUGUGUUUUAAGUGUUGUGGCUAAUGAUGUUCAUCUUGUGCAGGUACAAUGUUUCAUCAUCCUAGUAAAUGUUCUAACACAUGUACCUGAGAGGUUGCCUCUAGUAGCCGUCAAGGAGGUAGGCGGGCACCUCCUCCUGCCCCAAUGGAGGAGGAAGAGGAGCGUAUUUAUUUCGAUGCAGAUGUAGUGCUAGGCUACAAGUAUGGCAUUGGGGUUGUGCCGGCUAAUGCUAGGAUGUGGUACUGGACCUUUGUUCUGGCGAUGACUCCCGAUCUAGAAGUUGGCAUCGAUGAUGGUAAGCUAGCCAGGAAAUACUGAGGGAUUUACAAAAAUAACAAAUUCCUAGACUUUAAAAGCUUGUUCCGUCCCGGUGAAUCAAUGAACAUGAAUAUGGUCAAGGAUUCUAUGUCAACUGGAAACUUGAGGCUAGUUUAGAUGUUGUGUAUGAAGUGGAGGUAAGAGGAAAGAUGAUUCCAUUUUCUUCCAGGUUCAUAAAUCAAAUCAAGGAAUUCAAGGAGCAUCCGCAUAAGUUGUUCAUGAGGUUGCUGCGUCGGCCUUCCUAUCCUGACAUUAGACGCCAUAUUGUGUGGUGCGGGGUAUCUUGCACAUGGAUACAAGAUGCUAAUGAGUUCCACAAGGACAUGAAAAAAAUAUCAUUUUCAGCGUCCCACCAGAGUCAUUCUCCGGUUGAUUAAUGCGAGGAUCAUGUUUACCCAGAAUGACACUGAUAUCUCUCGAAUGAAGGUGUGUCUCACAUAUGUUUUUUUUGACUCGGAUGAAAUUUCAUAUGGGUAAGAUUAUGCUUGAGCACAUGUAUCGAGUAUGACCACUUGGAACCACCACUUAUAUUCCCUGAGUAUGAUAUCGCAACUUCCCACCAUAUGGAGGAGGAGUUCUAUUAUGAUCGGACAAUUCCAGUUUUGCAUCCUUAAAAGCCUUUUGAUAUCACAGUCGUGAUAGACCCCCCCUCCCCCCGCUGAUGCUGUCUUUGUAGAUAAGAGAUUUGUUUGUGUUGAGGAGACACUACAACUGCUAUUUGUUGAUAUGCGCCUUCGCGUUGCUCGGGGAGAGGUUGACUUGGCAGAGCUGCAGGAGGAUCAUUCCCUCUCCGCGGUCACACAAUAGUGGUUGGGCUUAGCCGUUGGAGUACAUAUGCCACCGGAUAAGGACAACAAAUCCAUUCCUCUGAUGAUGAAGAGUAUCUGCGCACCUUUGAGGGUGUUGAUGAGGAGUAGGCCACAGGCCUCAGGGAGUCACCUUUUUCACCCUUGUUUUAUUGCUUUGCGUUGGGAAAAUGCAAUUUCUUAAGUGCGAGGUGAGUUGUUCCUAUUUGAUUGUGUUUGUAUUUGUACUUGUUUGAUGUUUGCCAUUUAUUUUUGUUUGGUUUGUUUCUUGCUUUCAUUGCCAAUAUGGUCUGUAAAUUAUAAUUCUAAAUUCUAUCAUCCUGUAAUAGUUAGUAAUUAAUUAUUUAGUUUCGACUUUUCCCUUGGGUUUCUUUGUGCCGCGAUUCUUUUUUAAGGAUUUUACUUAAACCGGGUGUAGAUAUUUUUUGUUUUUUUUUUGUUUUUUGUCUUUAUAUGAAUAAAGAAUCUUGAGUCAUAGGGCUAAUUUGAAGCAACUUCCCUUGACUGCAUUUGCCUUGAGAGCGAUAGGUGCCUUAGUUUUGACGCCUACGCUCCGUUCUUGACUUUGAGAUAAGUGCCUUAAAUUGUGUGAUUGUGACCCUGCUGAACUGCUUUGACUAGAGAGUCGGAAAAAAUGCGAUACUAAGUAAGUUACGUGCCAAUGUAUGAGAGAGACUUUUGUGAUAUUCUGUGCAUGUAAAUUGAUGUCUGGAACUGGCCCCGUAUGUUAAUAAAGCAAAAUAGUAGUCUUGUUCGGUCUCGAAAGUGAUAUAGGCAGUUCUUUAUUGAGCCAGAUAUAUAUCUGUGACCCACCUAAUUGAAUGUAUCUUAGUUAACCCUUUUGAGCUUGUAAUUUUGUUUCUUUGGCAACAUAAUUUAUAAUCCUUACCCAUUUGUUUGAAUUGAUUAUCUGUUUGAACCUCUACCUCUCGUGAGAACUGAAAACUAUUAUGAGCUUGUAAAAGUCAAUUGGAGGUAUAGUUGGGGCUUUUAGUGGAACUAUAGAAGAAAGAUAAAUGUGCAGUGUUUGAAAAUUUGUAAGAUCUACUUGUAGAAAAAUUUAAAAAGAGAGUUUGAUUGAAAAAAGAGGAAGAAAAAUCACAACUUAGGAAAAAGAAUUUGAACUCUUGUCGGUGGUAUUUCUCAUAUUAUUUGUGCUUAAAAAAUGAGGGGCUUCAUGCUAUCAUGUAUAAAGGUUUGGUUUAACGUAAGAGUCAGGUUUGAAUUGUGAAAUUGUAUAUAUAUGAAAAUGCUCAAGGAGAUGUAGCCAUUCUAUCUAUAUGUAUCCUACCAUCCCGCAACCUACAUUAUAGACAAUUAAAGUCCCACUUGAUCCUUGAUUGAAUAAGCUAAAUUAGUAGAGUAUUACAGUCAUCACGCUCAACUAAGUCUCACAAAAGACUAUGCGGGCGUUGCAAAUAUAACCUGAGUAUUAUUGCCCAGAGUCAAACCUCAGGGAAUUAACCUAUCAUUACUAUUAUUAGAUUUACUAAAUCCACAUAAUGUGUUUUCCCAAACUUUUUGAUUCACAAGUAAUGAUUUUUCUAACGACUAAAGACUGAAAGUAAUUAAUAACAGAAAAUUAACUAAACUUGAUGUGUAAACAGUUGGAAUAAGGUCUAAGGUAAUGGUUUUCCCCGUUGGUAAUUUCCUUGGUUGUAUAUGUCUUAUAACUAUGAUUUAGUUGUCUCUAUCAAUCAUGAACGCUACAGCUAUCAUAAAUCUUUGUCAAGUAAUUAUGAUAAUUUAGUAGAUGCACUCUCUCAAGCUACGCUAGAUAGAUUCACAAUACAAUUCACUUAGAUUGCACCCGAGAUAUGGUUAUCUCUAAUCCAACCUCUAAACCCUCUGUUAUGACUCUUGUCUUGUAAGGCCCCGUGAAAAAGAGUGCUCAGACGUUAGCAGCUCAAAGAGUCGAGUCUACCUGUGUGGAUCGGAUUCUUUUUACUGUUUUGUACUUAAAAAUGUGAAAUCGAAAUUUUUCCAGAAAAUGGUCAAAAUGCGGUCGCAGAUCAGCAUUCCUACCGCAAAGUGAAUCAGUCAGCAACCAAUUUUUGAUGUUAAAAAUGAGGUCAGAUCUACGGUCGCAUAAUCAAUAUGCGGACCGUAGAUUGAUCGCAUAUGAUCCAUGAAGAAAUUCGAAGGUCAGUUCUGCGGUGCAUUCUGCGAUAGCAAAACAGGAUGCGAACCGCAUAUCUACCACAUUCCCAACCCGUGAGGUUUGAAACUUGAGCCAUUUCUGCGGUCCAUUCUGCGGACCGCAUGUUAGUUCUACGGCCGUAGAUUGCGUCGCAGAUCGUGCUCGCCUGGUAUUUUUCUAAUAUUUUAGACCCGAACCACCUUUUAUUAAAACAUCUUCUCCCUCAUUUUUAACAUGUUUUUAUAAAAAUAAGAGAGAGGGAGAGAGUGAUCUUGAGAGAGAAAGUAAGUCCUUCAUCAUCUAGUCAUUGAAAACCAUUGGAGCUCGAAAAAUUGUUGGUGCAUUGUCUUCUCUACUUCUUUCUCAGGUAAAAUCUCUAACCCAUUUCCCCCAAAUUUUGAAAUUAAGCUUGGGAAGGGAACCCCAUACACUUGCUUUGNNNNNNNNNNNNNNNNNNNNNNNNNNNNNNNNNNNNNNNNNNNNNNNNNNNNNNNNNNNNNNNNNNNNNNNNNNNNNNNNNNNNNNNNNNNNNNNNNNNNNNNNNNNNNNNNNNNNNNNNNNNNNNNNNNNNNNNNNNNNNNNNNNNNNNNAGCAACUAUGAGUUUAAAUUUCUAAAACCUAAGUGUUGCUCAUGAACUAGAUUGACUUCUUGAUUGCUUGGCGAAUUGGACUAGAGGUUUAAAGGGGAGAAUCAACUCCAGGUAUGUAUGGCUAACUGUGAUCCUUAUGAAAUCGCCCUCUGUUAGUUUGUGAAAUUGUUGAUAGUUGAUAUUCAUAUGGGAAUCAUUGUGAAGCUUUUGUGUUGUAUAUUUGUAUGGUAACACCUUGUGGUUAAAGUUGAGAAAACUUGCAAUUAAAAGAGUUUGGAAAUGGUGGAAAUGGAAAUGAUGUGGAACAGUGAAAGUGGAAAUAAUAUGGAACAACGUGUAUGAUUGGUUGUGAACAACUGUUGUGGUAAUCCAAAUUCUGUACAAAGUUGAUGAACAUGAGAAAAUUGUUCCUAGUUGUGGAAAUACAUUACCAUUGUUGUGGUUCUAUCUUAACAAUGUGCUAUAGUUGAUUUCUUGUAAUUGUUGUUUUGUUGCAUGUUGUUGUGAACUGAAACUGUUAGGCGGGGUCGGGUUGCACGCCAAAACACGGUGAACUAAGGUGUGGGUUGGGGUGAUAAGGGUGGCCGAGGUAAUAAGGGUGGACGAGGUAAUAAGGGGGGAAAUGUGAUCCAAUAUCACUAUUAAUAUGAAUACAAAAUCAUGAAAUGAUCAAUGUGGAAUUGUGAAAGGAGACAGCAGGAGAGUUUGUAACCUGUGGGGCACGGAUUUCCCCUUUGUUUGACUAAUUGUAUCAUUUUCUGUGAAAUGUUUGGUUGUUGCUCCAUGGUUGUACUAUUGUUGUUCAGUUUUGUACAUGUAUAUUCAUUUUGGCUCUAGUUUACAUGGAACAGAGUUUGUUCAUACAUGCCAGUAUAAUUCAAAUGUACUGACGUCCCUUUGCCGGGGGCGCUACAUUUGUGUUAUGAUUGUAGGUGGAUUCGCAACAGGCACUCCAGUCCACCGUUUGUAGCUCCUCCUCCCUCUCUAUCGGCGGUAUUCGUGGUUGGUGAGCCCCUUUCCUUCCGGGGCCUUGUGUGGCUCAUGCCACCCAUGUUGUUGUGUUUUAGAGUCUUUUGUCCUUUUGUAAAGAUAUAGCAGGGCCUUCUAGCCGGCAAGUGUUGUAUUAUCUUUCUCUUAGAGGCUCCGUAGACUGUGAUAUGUGGGUUAGAACUUAUGUAUAAAGGUGUAUGUUUCGGGCGCUAUAAACUUGUACACCAUGUUUCAUGUUAAUCAUAAUGUAUGUUUUGUGAAAAUGUUCCCUGUUAAUCAUAAUGUGUGCUUAUAAAAGUGAAUUCAUAUUUACCUUCAAUUGAUAUCUGGUAUCUUUUGGCUAAUCAACAAGGAAUAAUGUGGGGUAACACAUGGGGAAUAGGAAAGGCACCAAGGUCCACUCGACCGGGGGUACCCAGUUGAGUGCCGGUCAUGUCCCUCAUAUUUGGGGCGUGACAAACUUGGUAUCAGAGCUUAAGGUUUUAAAGGGGUCCUAGGAUGUCUCGGAGCCGUGCCUAGUAGAGCACUUCCUAUCGGUGUGUUGUCUACCACAUCUAUAAGUUUGGGGCUACACGAGCAUUUAGGAAAAACUAUCCUCUUCUUUGUUAUUCCAAGUUCGUGCGGUGAAGUGAUGUUGUGUCUAAUUCGUGCUUUAAUUCGAAUUUUCAGUAAUGGCACCCAAAAAGAAAGCUAGACUCAGCCUAGGGGCCGACGCUACUUCCAGUUCGGCUGUGGAUCAUGUGCCGACUGCUGUGGGCGAGAGUGAUUACCCAUUUCUGAAUUUGCCUGCUCCAUCCGUUCCUGAUCCAAGCAAUCAUGUUCCAGCAGCGGCCGAGGGUGCCACUAUCCCUCCUUCCAAUGCUCCUAAUCCUGAUGUUACUCCAGCUUCUGACCCCGUGAUUUCUAAUGGAGACCUUAUGGUAGCUAUUCGUAUGUUGACCCAGUUAGUGGCCGCCCAGGUCCAGAGAUCUCAUGAUCCUCGGUGUCCUCUAGCGGACAGGGAGAUUCCUCCAGCUCCAGAAUUCACCAGUUUUUGCGAUUGUCCCCUCUAGAGUUCUCAGGCACAGAUCCAGAGGCCGAUCAGUAAGAAUUCCUUGAUGAUAUAUACAAGACCCUUCAAGUGAUGAAGGCUAUAGAGAUAGAAGGGGUAGAAUUGAGUUCAUGCAGGUUGAAGGGAGAUGCGCGUUCGUGGUUUGAGAUGUGGGAGGAUUCCCGGGAAGAUGGGAGACCUCCAGCUAGAUGGGCUGAGUUCGUAGAUGCCUUCAUGGACCACUUCUUGCCUACCCAGACUAUGGCAGCCCGUACCACCGAGUUUGAGGUUCUUAAGCAGGGUAACAUGAGUGUUUGGGAGUAUCAUAUGGAGUUCGUGAUAUUGUCCAAGUAUGCUCCUCAGUUGGUGUCGCUAUGGAGGCCAGAGUUUGGCGAUUCGUUCAGGGUCUCAGCCAUUUGCUGGUAAAUGAGGCAUCUACAACGGAUUUGCAUUUAGACAUGAACAAUGGGAAGAUCGUGGGUUUUUCUCAGGCCACAGAGGCCAGGAAGUUGAAGAUUCAGGCAGGCACGGAGAGUAGCAGCAGGGCCCGGUCUAUUAGUCACUCAGGGAGGUCAGCUCCAGGGAAAGGGUCAUCAGAACCAUCUCAGUCUUAUGCUCAGUCCUCAGCUAGUUCACCGCCAUCUGUGCACCAUUACCAGCAGGGUAGCCCUUCGGGGCCAGGUUCAGACAGCAGGAGGUCCCGCCAGUUCAGUCAUUCGGGAAUGAGACCUCGACAGUAGGGAGGUAUAUGUACCAAGUGUGGGAGAUUUCAUACAGAGGCCUACUACUUGGAUUCUCCAGUGUGUUACAAUUGUGGGGUGAGAGGUCACAAACAACGGUACUGGAGUGCGCCUAGACAGGGAACGGGUAGGGGGCUUGCUCAGCCAUCUAGUUCAUCAGUUGCUACGUUACCAGUGCGCCCUCCAGCCCCAGUAAGGCGUGGUGCAGCCAGAGGUGGAGCUCGUGGUAGGGGCGGAGCCAGCAGGUUUUAUGCAUUUAGUGUCCGUCAGAGUGCUGAGGCUUCCCCAGAUGUUGUUACAGGUAUCCUAUUUGUCUAGACCAUUGAUUGCUAUGCUCUUAUUGAUCCGGGGUCUUCUUUGUCCUAUGUCACUCCAUUUGUUGAAUCGAGUUUUGGGAUUGAACUCGAGCAGCUUCUUGAGUCGUUCCCUGUAUCGACUCCGGUUGGUGAUUCUAUUACAGCUGCGCUGAUCUAUAGGAAUUGUGUUGUUGUGGAAGGUGGUCGUGUUACCAUGACUGACCUUAUCGAGGUUGGGAUGGUGGAUUUUGAUGUAAUCAUAGGGAUGGAUUGGCUCUAUUCGUGCUUUGCUAAACNNNNNNNNNNNNNNNNNNNNNNNNNNNNNNNNNNNNNNNNNNNNNNNNGGAUUGGCUCUAUUCGUGCUUUGCUAAACUUGAUUGCCGAACGAGAGUCAUGAGACUCGAGUUCCCUAAUGAUCCGGUUGUUGAAUGGAAAGGAAAUGGCGUUGUGCCAAAGGAUAGGUUUAUUUCCUACCUCAAGGCUUUGAAGAUGAUCAGAAAGGGGUGAAUCUAUCAUUUAGUCUGGGUGGCGGACACUACUCCAAAGGUUCCUGCCCCCGAGUCUGUGCCAGUUGUGAAUGAGUUUCUUGAGCUAUUUCCAGACGAGUUUCCAGGAAUUUGGCCAGAUAGGGAGAUUGAUUUUGGGAUUGAUUUAUUGCCAGAUACCUAGCCAAUAUAUAUUCCAUCGUACAGAAUUGCGCCAGUAGAGUUGCGGGAUUAAAGGAGCAAAUGAAGGAUUUAUUUGAGAAGGGGUUUAUUCGGCCAUGUGUGUCGCCAUGGAGUGCUCCAGUUCUUUUUGUCCGAAAGAAGGAUGGUUCGCUGUGGAUGUGUAUUGAUUAUCGACAGUUAAUAAAGUUACCAUAAAAAAUAAGUACCCUUUGCCUCGAAUUGAUGAUUUGUUCGAUUAAUUGCAAGGUGCAAGGUUGUUCUCCAAAAUUGAUAUGCGGUCCGGGUACCACCAAUUGAAGAUCAGGGAGCAGGAUAUUCCUAUGACGGCUUUCAGGAUGCGUUAUGGCCACUUUGAAUUCUUGGUCAUGUACUUUGGGCUAACCAACGCCUCGGCAUCUUUUAUGGAUCUUAUGAAUCGAGUCAUCAAGUCAUUUUUAGACUCCUUCGUGAUUGUUUUCAUUGACGACAUCCUCGUAUAUUCACGGAGCAGGGAGGAUCAUGCCAGCCACCUCAGAGCGGUUUUGCAGCCUCUACAUCAGCACCAAUUGUAUGCCAAGUUUUCCAAAUGUGAAUUUUGGUUGGAGUCCGUCGCUUUUCUGGGUCGUGUUGUUUCCAGUGAGGGGAUUCAGGUGGACCCCCAAAAGAUUGCAGCGGUGAAGCAUUGGCCUAGACCCACGACCUGGACGGAGAUCCGUAGCUUUUUGGGGUUAGCAGGGUAUUAUCGAAGGUUUAUAGAGGGAUUCUCCACCCUCGCCUCCCCAUUGACUAAAUUGACACAGAAAUCAGUCAAGUUCCAGUGGUCAGAUUCUUGUGAGAAAAGUUUCCAGGAAUUGAAUACAAGGUUGACUUCGGCACCAGUAUUGGCCUUGCUAGAAGGCACAUAGGGGUUUGUGGUUAAUGGUGAUGCCUCCAGGGUUUGUUUAGGGUGUGUUCUGAUGCAUCACGGGAAGGUCAUAUCAUAUGCUUCCAGGCAACUCAAAAAUCACGAGAAGAAUUAUCCAACGCAUGAUUUGGAGCUUGAAGCAGUUGUGUUCGCCUUGAAAAUAUGGCGGCAUUAUCUUUUUUGGGUUCAUGUAGAUGUGUUUUUGGACCACAAGAGUCUUCAAUAUUUGUUUAAGUAGAAGGAGAUGAAUUUGAGGUUGCGGCAGUGGUUAGAAUUGCUUAAGGAAUAUGAUAUGGACAUCUUCUACCAUCCAGGGAAGGCGAACGUGGUGACCGACACCCUCAGUCCGAAAUCCAUGGGUGCUUGGCUCACUUGAGAGCAGAUCAGAGGCUCCUAGCUCGGGAGGUACAUCAGUUGGCUAGCCUUUGGGUUUGUAUCUCGGCCCCGAAUGAGGAGGAACUUAUGGUGCAUAAUACAGCAGAAUCGUCGCUCAUGGCAGAGGUUAAAGGAAAGUAGUUUGUUGAUCCAGCAUUGGCACAAUUGAAGGAGGCAACUCUAAGUAAAGAAAUUUCAGCAUUUUCACUCGGUAGCAGUGGUGUACUACGGUGCCAUGACAGGUUAUGUGUCCCAGAUGUGGAUAAUCUUCGGGAGAGGGUAAUGGCGGAGGCUCAUCAUUCCAGGUAUUCAAUGCACCCAUGCUCUAUAAAUAUGUAUCACAGUCUCAAGGAUAUCUAUUGAUUGAGUGGUAUGAAGAAGAGUGUACCGAACUUUGUCUCUAAGUGCCCGAAUUGCCAGCAAGUGAAGGCCGAGCAUCAGCUGCCGGGAGGGAUGACUCAGUUUAUAGAAAUGCUGAUGUGGAAGUGGGUAAUGAUCAAUAAGGACUUCGUGACAGGACUACCUCGUACUCAACACAAGUUUGACUCAAUUUGGGUAAUUGUGGAUAGGAUCACCAAAUCUGCUCACUUUUUGCCAGUCAAGUCCACUGAUACUGCAAAACAAUAUGCUCGGCUGUAUAUCAAGGAGAUAGUGAGGCUUCAUGGUACGCCGCUUUCUAUUAUUUCGGACGCUGACCAAAUCAACUCACUUUUUGCCAAUAAGGUCCACCGAUACUGCAAAACAAUAUUCUCAGUUGUAUAUCAAGGAGAUAGUGAGGCUUCAUGGUACGCCACUUCCUAUCAUUUCGGAUCGAGGAGCUAAGUUUACAGCUAAAUUCUGGAGGAAACUUCAGCAAGGUUUGGGUAUUCAAGUGAAUCUUAGCACAUCUUUUCUUCCGCAGGCCGAUGGCCAAGUAGAGCGGACUAUUCAGACGCUCGAGGAUAUGUUGCGGGCAUGUAUCUUAGAUUUUAAAGGUAAUUGGGAUGAUCACCUGCCCUUAUAGAAUUUUCUUAUAACAACAGCUUUCAUGCUAGCAUCUAGAUGGCCCCAUUCGAAGCAUUGUAAGGAAGGUGUAGGUCCCCGAUCGGGUGGUUCGAGGUUGGUAACGUAGAAUUAAUAGGGCCAGAUCUCGUGCAUCAGGCUAUGGAUAAGGUGAGAGUCAUUCAGGAGAGAAUGAAGACUGCUCAAAGUAGCCAUAAAUCCUAUGCGGACGUGCAUCGAAGAGAAUUGAAGUUUCAAGAAGGGGAUUGGGUAUUCUUGAGCGUGUCCCCUAUGAAGGGAGUCAUGCGCUUUUUGAAGACGAGAAAACUAAGUCCUAGGUACGUUGAGCCUUAUCAAGUCACUCUAAGGAUCGGUCAAGUUGCGUAUAGGUUGGAAUUUUCCCUGAAAUGUCCUUGGUGCACCCGGUGUUUCAUAUAUCCAUGUUGGGGAAAGUUGUGGGUGAUCCGUCUAAAAUUGUGCCCAUGGAAGACAUCAAGGUUACAGAAGAGUUAUCGUAUGAAGAGAUUCCAGUUGCUAUUCUGGAUAGGCAGGUUCGAAAGUUACGGAACAAGGAGAUUGCUUCAGUUAAGGUGUUGUGGCGAAACUAGCAAGUCGAGGAAGCCACAUGGGAAGCAGAAGAGAAGAUGAAGAUAAAUUACCCCCAUCUAUUUGAGCAAGUCAAGGAAUAAUCAUGCGAAUCUUGUCCCUAGGAGAACUAAUGUUGUGUCCCUUUAGGUGUAAGAAACCUUCCUUCUCUUCCCAAGUGCCAACUAUUGUAGUUUCUCCAAGUAGUGCCAACAAAAAUUAUGUGUUGUAACUAUUUGAACAAUGUGCAGUCCUUUUUGGUAAUGGAAGUUUUGUGCUCCCAUGAUAAGGUGAUGUAUGGAAGUAAUAAUUAAUUUUGCAUGGAGAUUUUGUAUCAAAGUGUUCUAAUUGUGUAACGAUUAGUUUUGCAUGGAGGAAUUGUACUGAAAUGAAUAACUGUGUCGUACCCUUGUGAUAGGUAAAUUGCUUUAAUAGUAUAGGUGAUUAAUGCUUAAUUUGAUUACAUGUUGUGUGCCAAAUGGUUAAAGUGUAUCAAGAGGUUGAAUAUGUGCAAGCGUGAGGAUUAUGCAUAUUACAACUGUUCUAAAGGUGGCAAGUUUGUGUAGUAAUACUUGGGAAUAUGUUUUGAAGAUUCAUUGACACGUGGUUAUGUCCAUAUUACAAAGGAAACUCUGGAAAAAUAUUUCUAAAACUAACUUGAAAGUUAAUAAAAUUGUAGAAACUUGCAUAUUAGGUUUUCAAACUCAUUUGGUUCCCAAGUCUUCAUUCGAGGAUGAAUGAUCUUAAGCGAGGGAGGAUGCAAGGCCCCGUGAAAUGAGUGCUCAGAUGUUAGCAGCUUAUAGAGUCGAUCUACCCACACGGAUCGGAUUCUUUUUGCUGCUUUGAACUUCAAAAUGUGAAAUCAAUUUGUUUUCUAGAAAAUGGUCAUAAUGCGGUCUAGAAUGCGGUCGCAGAUUCUACCUGCAUGGAUUGGAUUCUUUUUACUAUUUUGUACUUAAAAAUGUGAAAUAAAUUUUUUUCCAUUAAAUGGUCAAAAUGCGGUCGCAGAUCUAUGCGGACCGCAUUCCUACCGCAUAGUGAAUUAGAGAGCAACCAAUUUUUGAUGUUAAAAAUGCGGCCAGAUCUGCGGUCCCAUAAUCAAUAUGCGGACCACAGAUUGAUCGCAUAUGAUCCCUGAAGAAAUUCGAAGGUCACUUCUGCGAUUCAUUCUGCGACCGCAUUACAGGAAUACAGACUGCAUAUCUACCGCAUUCCCAACCCGAGAGGUUUGAAACUUGAGCUAUUUCUUGUUAGUUCUGCCACCGCAGAUUGCGUCGCAGAUCGUGCUCGCCUGGUAUUUUUCUAAAAUUUUAUACCCGACCCACCUUUUAUUAAAACAUCUUCUCCCUCAUUUUAACACAUUUCUGAUCAAAAUAAGAGAGAGGGAGAGAGGGUUCUUGAGAGAAAAAGUAAGUCCGUCAUCAUCUAGUCUUUCAAAACCAUUGGAGCUCGAACAAUUCUUGGUGCAUUGUUUUCUCUACUGAUUUCUCAGGUAAAAUCCCAAACCCAUUUCCCCCAAAUUUUGAAAUUAAGCUUGGGAAGGGAACCCUAUACACUCGCUGAAAUUUCUUCAUAAAAUCUUCAUGCAUGUCUUCAAAACCCUAAAAUCUUGUAAAAAGGGAANNNNNNNNNNNNNNNNNNNNNNNNNNNNNNNNNNNNNNNNNNNNNNNNNNNNNNNNNNNNNNNNNNNNNNNNNNNNNNNNNNNNNNNNNNNNNNNNNNNNNNNNNNNNNNNNNNNNNNNNNNNNNNNNNNNNNNNNNNNNNNNNNNNNNNNNNNNNNNNNNNNNNNNNNNNNNNNNNNNNNNNNNNNNNNNNNNNNNNNNNNNNNNNNNNNNNNNNNNNNNNNNNNNNNNNNNNNAAUAUUCAUGUGGGAAUCAUUGUGAAGCUUUUGUGUUGUAUAUUUGUGUGGUGACACCUUGUGGUGAAAGUUGAGAAAACUUGUAAUUGAAAGAGUUUGGAAAUGGUGGAAAUGUAAAUGAUGUGGAACAGUGAAAGUAGAAAUAAUGUGGAACAGCGUGUAUGUAUAAAAGUGUUUGUUUUGGGCGCUGUAAACUUGUACACCAUGUUUCUUGUUAAUCCUAAUGUAUGUUUCGUGAAAGAUGUACCUUGUUAAUCAUAAUGUGUGCUUAUAAAAGAGAAUUCACAUUUACCUUCAAUUGAAAUCUCGUAUCUUUUGGCUAAUCAACAAGGAAUAAUAUGGGAUAACGCGUGGGGAAUAGGAAAGGCACCCAGGUCCACUCGACGGGGGUAACCGGUUGAGUGCCGGUCAUGUCCCUCGGAUUUGGGGCGUGACACGUCUAUACUCUGUGAGUGAUGUUGUUCAUACUAUCACCUAAAUAUGCACUCUCAAGUAGAUACAUAAUAAAUAGGAACGGAUAAUUGAGGGUCCUUUCAACUAACCACAAUCAAUUCAUAGAUGAACAAAUAGAGAUUAACAACAAAAUCCAACUAUAUUAAUAAAAAAACCAAGUCAUCCCCAACGGGUUCCACCAAAACCUUAGAUUAAGGUUUUUAGCUACUCAUAACAAUGGGAAAAUAAACUACUAAAAGAUACAUAAUCAUAAAUUACAAGAAAAAUAAAAGAGAAUAAGAAAAAUGAUAUUUUGGGUGAUCUCUCACCCUUUUUCUCUUGCCAAAGUACUCUCUAAAACAUUACAUGCCUCCCUUGGGCGAGUUUUCUUGGUAAAUAUAGGGUUUUGGGUUAAAAAUCCCAUAUUUUGCACUUAAGUCCCUAAAGUUUCCCCGUGCUGUCGCUAUCCUACCGCGGUUACGCUAGGACCCCGGCCAAACUGCCUCUCUAAAGUUUCCACGUGCUGCUGCGGUUCUAUCGCGGUUAUGCCAAGACUGCAACCAAACUGCCUCUCUGAAGUUUCCACAAUAGCAUUUUACCGCAGUCCUACCGCGGUUACGCUAGGACCACGACACGCUAUCUUCAGUUAUGGUUUUCCCUGCCUUCGCUUGGUGCACUUUGCGGAUAUGUAAAAUUGGCCUCUUUUUCUCCGUAAUUACUCCCUAAAGUACUCCAUAAGACUUCUUUUACUGGAUAUAGCCUGCAAAGCAUGAAAAACACUAAUCAGAAUAUUUUGUUAUCACUUUUUACCAUAGAAACUAUACAUGACACACCCUCCCUAUAGCUCGGACCCUAGCCAUCAUCCAGCUCUCAGACCUGUCCUGCCUUCUAGACAUGGCAUCCAAACGUACAUGCAGGCCAUCCAUCGAGGUGCAAAGAUCUGCUACCUCCUCCCCUAAUGAAGGUGACAGGGGUCGGCUGGAUUGUGAUCUAGAGAACCCAGCUCCAGUCUAGGGUCUCCGAGAGGAUCCGGCUCCAUCAUAAGACCUCAUGGGUGGUACCAUGGGUGCUGGGUUGUCAUUCUCGUCGUCCAGCUCAGUGGUUGUGGGUGCAUCUCUACCCGCUCUGAUCGUCGCACCUCUGAAUGGUGCUUUUGGGGCCAAAGUUCCAUCUGUAGGAUUGGAUUGGACAUUAGCUAGCAGACAUAACCUCGUCACAAGUGAGGGGUAGUAAAACCCCUUAGACAUCAGAGGUGACUGGAGAAACAUUUCAUCUCCAAUGAGCUGCACCACAUCAAAGUCCUUCUUGUUUACAAAGCACCAAGUCAAUAAAGCAUGUAAGCUAUUCACAUCGGUCAUAUUGACCGUGGGCAAUAACCUACUGCAAAUGAUGGUAAACCAGCACUUGGCCUCAUGUGUGAACGACUUGGAGUGCAGUGUCAUGUAAUUCUGGAUCCAUACUGCUUGUUCCCCUGCGCAUAAUUUCUUAAUCCUAGUGUCCCAAUCGACCCCUAGGGAGUUGUGGUAAUGAUCAGUGUCACCGGUGAACUGAGGCAGCCGCAAGACAUGGCGAAUCUUUUCAAUUAAGGCAUAUACCAUCUUUCCCCGCAUAAUCACAGAACGACACAGAUGUUCUGGGCAGUUCGCGUAGAACUCCCGGACCAUCAUUGGGUUGGCCGUUUCAGGUUCCUCGAACAAGUACUCCAUCUCUCUCCGUCUGAUUUCCUCGUACAUGUUCGGCCUUUCUAUAUGGAGGGUAGACCUAUCAAUAUGAAUCUCAGGGACAAAGCUUUUGGUGGCUCUUGCAUGAAACCCGUCAUCUGCCUCCUAUGACUGGAAUCAGGUGGCAUCACAUAUCGGCACUUAGAAAGUGCUUGCCAUAUUCUUAUGCUUCCUUGGCGCCAUAGAACCUACAAGCAAUUUAGGAAAACAAUCAGGUGCAUCCUAACAUGUGCAGGUCGGAUGGUUACUUAGACUUCGCCACUCUCUAGCACCAAACAAUUCCCGUUUGUCAACCAAGGCAAUUAUUCCCAACUAGUAAAGUGCCCAAUGUUAGCAACCCCCAUUAAUGCCCUCACGCCAUUAUCAAUUCUACAAUUUGACCAUACAGGACCCCACACUUACUUCCACAAGUGAAUCAUGUCUAAUGCUACCACCACUACAAUAUAAGAAAGGCAUAAAGUGCUUCAAAUUUUCAUAAACACACCCCCAAUUUCAGCCAGUUAGGGCCCCUCCACCAAACUUCACCCUACACAAUUUGUGUAGGCAUAAAGACAAGCUAAACACCUCCCACCAUUUAAGCACAAUAAAAACCCAACAAUUUAAGCAUCGAUCAUGGCCAAAAGAAGCAAAUAAUGGAAAAAAAUCAAGAAAAGAAAGAAAAAAUAGAAACAUUAGCAGUAAAACACUACCUAUGGUGUAAUUAAAACUAAAUUAGACUACUCAUUACACUAAGUUACUUGAAGAAGAGAGAAGAUAGUGGAGAAGUUACUUUGAAGAUUAAUGGAAAGGAUGGGGUAUAUGUGUGUGGGAAGUAAUUUAAAGAAGAAAAGAGAAUAGGGGAAUUUGGGGAUUUAGGGUUCUUGGGAGAAAGAUGAAAGAUGAGGGGAAGAGAGAGAUGAGAGAUUUGUCAGAGCGGUGGGAUGGGUUUGAUAUGAGGGAAAAGAACAAAAAGGGAAUGGGUUAGGUUAAUUAAGGGGAGUAAGAAAAAAAGAAAAACAAAAUAAUGCAUACCUGGGCACGAUCUGGUCCACCGUGGUUCUACCGCGGUUACGCCGGGACCACGAUGGACUUUUAUCAGAGAGGGUCCUAGAUCGCGGUCCUACCGCGGUUACACUGGGACCGCGAUAGCCCUAUAUAAGAGAAGGUCAUUGACCACGGUCCAACCGCUGUUACGCCGGGACUGCAGUCUAGGCCUGUUCAUGUUUUUUUUAAUGAAUUUAUACAUUAUACUUACGACACAUUCGUGGGUUGCCUCCCAUGCAUCGCCUGAUUUAACGUUGCGGCACGACGCAAGUCGUUGAGCUCUUACUCCUCCUUCUCGUACUGGGAUUAUUUUAAAUUGGUCAUCAUGGUACCCCCUUUUACAUCAGCUAUUCCAAGGUAAUGUUUCAACCUUUGCCCAUUUACAGAGAACUUGUUUGUUCCAUAUUCUGACUCAAUCUCCACAGCUCCAUUUGCAAACAUUUGCACCACUCUAAAUGGCCCUGACCAUCGGGACUUUAACUUACCCAAAAAUAAUCUCAACCGUGAAUUAUACAUUAAUACCUGGUCACCGGGUUUGAAGUUUAUGUCCACAAUGUGGUUGUCAUGCAUCUUCUUCAUUCUUUCCCAUUACAACCAUAUGCUUUCAAAGGCUUGAUAUAUUCUUCCAGCUCAUGAAACUCUGUCAAUCUAUUCUGUCCAGUUGCUUCAGGAUCCACGUUCAAUUGCUUCAGUGCCCACCAAGCUCGUAGUUCUAGAUCCAUAGGUAGGUGAUAGGCCUUCCCAAAUACCAACUUGUAUGGUGACAUACCUAUUGGUGUUUUGAACACUCUAUAGGUCCAGAGUGCAUCAUAAAGCUUCUUUGCCCAAUCAGUUCGUGUGGCAUUUACAGUCUUUGUUAGUACACUCUUUAUCUCCCUGUUGGACACUUCAACCUUCCCACUGGUCUACGGAUGGUAAGGGGUAGCCACCUUGUGGCGUAUAUCAUAUAUAGCAAGUAAUUUCUCGAAGGCUCUAUUGCAGAAGUGAGUGCCUCCGUCACUGAUGAUCGCUCUUGGUGUCUCAAACCGGGUGAAUAUGUUCUUUAUAAAAAAUUCGACCACCACUCUUGCAUCAUUAGUGUGUAAGGCUACAACUUCCCCCCCAUUUAGACACAUAAUCCACAGCAACAAGUAUGUAUUUAUUGCCAAAUGAGCUGACGAACGGGCCCAUGAAGUCAAUCCCCCACACAUCAAACACCUCUACUUCUUGAAUUGGUUUCAUUGGCAUCUCAUGGCGAUGAGAAAUGUUUCCCUUGAGCUAUUUCAUGAAGUCAAUCCCCCACACAUCAAACACCUCUACUUCUUGAAUUGGUUUCAUUGGCAUCUCAUGGCGAUGAGAAAUGUUUCCCGUCCAUUGGUAAUCAUUCCAGCCCUUUACCUAGAGGUGUGCAUCUCUAAACACAGUUGGCCAAAAGAAUCCGGCCUCUAGCACUUUCGCAUUUGUUUUUACCCCUCCAAAAUGUCCUCCAUAUGCUGAUACGUGAAAAGCCUGCAAAAUCAAAGAUUGUUCUAUCUUGGGGACACACCUCCGGAUAAUGUUAUCAACACAUAUUCGAAACAAAUGACGUUUAUCCCAAUAAUACAUGCGACAAUCACGAAAGAACAUUUUCUGUUGAACAGAUGAAAGCUCAUAGGUAAUAAUACUGCAGGCCAGGUAGUUUGCAAAAUCUGCAUACCAUGGAGCAUCCUCAAGACUGGCUACGAGCAGCUGCUCAUCUGGAAAGGUUUCCGGAAUCUCUUCGACCUUGACUGAUUUCUCAGCUCCUUCAAGUCAUGAAAGAUUAUCAUUGACUUGAUUUUCUGUGCCCUUACGGUAACAAAUUUCGAGGUCGAACUCUUGCAACAACAUCACCCAGCAAAUCAGGCACGGUUAGACUCAUUUUUCUUAAUUAGGUACCUGAGAGCUGCAUGGUCAGCAUACACAAUUACCUUGGACCCAAUCAGAUAUGAUCAGAACUUGUCAAAAGCAAACACAACUACCAAUAUCUUCUUCUCCGUCACUGUGUAGUUGAGUUGUGCAGCACUUAGCGUUCUGCUUGCAUAGUAAAUCGGGUGCAUGAGCUUAUUUUUUUGCAGCCCCAAGACUGCUCCUAUAGCAUAGUCGCUAGUGUCACUCAUGAGCUCAAAUGGUUGCUCCUAGUUGGGUGAAACAAUGAUAGGUUCAGUUACCAACUUCUUCUUCAGUUCCUCAAAUGCCAACCUGCAAUCAUUAGAAAACACAAAGGGCCGAUCCUUUUCAAGGAGUUUGAAUUUGCAGAAAUCUAAUAUGAAUCACUGGUAGAAUUUGACGUGACCAAGAAAACUUCUUACCACCUUGACUGAAGUGGGUGGUGGUAGCUUCUCAAUCAUGUCAACCUUCUCACGGUCGACCUCAAUACCUUUUCUGGACACACGAUUUCCCAGGACUAUCCCUUCUAGUACCAUAAAAUGGCACUUCUCCCAAUUUAGCACUAAGUUUAUCUCCACACCUUUUGAGUACUCUACUUAUGUUGUGAAUACAGUCUUCAAAUGAAUCUCCCACCAUGGAGAAAUCACCCAUAAAGACUUCCAUAACAUCCUCCAUCAUAUCUGUGAAGAUGGCUAGCAUGCACUGUUGAAAAGUCGCCGGUGCAUUGCAGAUCCCAAAGGGCAUUCUCUAAAAGGCAAAGAUGCUAUACAGACAAGUGAAAUAUGUAUUCUCUAUAUCCACGAGGGUUAUUGAUAUCUAGUUGUACCCCGAAUAUCCAUCCAAGAAACAAAAGUGUGAUCUACCGGCCAGCCUGUCCAACAUUUGGUCAAUGAAAGGCAAAGGAAAGUGGUCCUUUCGGGUGGCAGUGUUCAAUUUUCGGUAAUUCAUGCAAAUUCACCACCCUAUGAUUGUACGAGUUGAGAUCAACUCAUUGUUGUCAUUUUUCACAACAGUCAUUCCCCAAUUUUUCGGAACACAUUGGACAUGGCUGACCCAAUUACUUUCAGAGAUGGGAAAAAUGAUUCCCGCAUCUAACCAUUUGAUCACCUUUUUUUUACAACCUCUUUCAUAUUAGGGUUCAGCCUUCGCUGAUGUUCCUUGGAAGGUCUGUGCCCCUUCUCCAGGAGAAUCUUAUGCAUACAAAAGGCUGUGCUGAUUCUCUUUAUGUCUGCCAUGGUCCAUCCAAUGGCACUCUUGUUAUCCUGCAGUACUUGUAAGAGCCGUUCUACCUGCACCUCUAGUAAACACGGUGAUAUAAUAACAUGUAAGGUCGAAUCAGGGCCUAAGAAUGCAUACCUGAGGUGAUCUGGGAGUGGCUUCAACUCCAUCUUGGGUGGUUCCUCUAUUGAUGGCUUUGCUGGAGGAGUGUCCCUCUUUUCCAACUCAAUGUACUCGAACUAAGGUUUCCUUGACCAAAAACCUCGGCCUUCCAGUACCAUAACCCAUUCAGUGCUCACCUAAUGGCUAAAAAUGGUCUCCCUAAAAUAAGGUGUAUUUCCUCGUCCACAUGACAGUCCAGGAUCACAAACCAAGAUCACAAAGUCUGCAGGGAAAACGAGCUCCCCCACUUGUACCAGCAUAUUAUCAAGAAUACCACUUGGUCUUUUCACAGUGUAAUCAACCAGCUGUAGUAGCAUAGAAGUUGGUCUAGCUCUACCGAUGCCCAAUUCAGUGUACUCUACUAGCGGCAUUAAAUUUAUGUUGGCUCCCAAAUCACACAACGCAUUUGCAAAGGCGUAACUUCCAAUUGUGCAUGGAAUAGUAAAGCUACCUGGAUCGGCCAUCUUUUGAGCCAUCAGUUUUGCCACCACUGUGCUAUAGGUCUGUGUCAGAGUUACGGUGGAUAGAUAAUAAAAAUCAAACUUUCAUGUCAUUAGAUCUUUUAUCGUCUUGGCAUAACCGGGCAUUUCCCUCAAGGCAUCCAUCAAAGGAAUAUUCAAUUGAAUUUGACGCAACAUCUCUAUGAACUUUUUGUAUUGGUCUGCCUUUGUUUGUUUGACCAGUCUCUGAGGGAAGGGUGCAAGUAUAACCCUUUGUUCAUUGCUUGUUGGCUUCUCUCUGCUAGGAUUUCUGGCACAAGAGGUGCCACCUGUUCUGCAACUUGCUCGUUCUCCUUUUCUUUGCCUUUUUCCUUCUAACUCUACUCAACCACCACUUUAGUAAGUUCUGUUGGUUCUUCUACCUCUAAGUGAACUGGAGUGGCUGGUGUAGUAUUCAUGCUGGCUUGUGUAAUGUCCUGCUCUCUAUCUAAAUCUCUACCAUUCGGGAGACUGACGUCCAUCAGCUGAUUUGGGUUUGCUCCUUAGGGUUUAUGUUUGUGUCUGCAGGUAAUGUUCCUGGAGGACGGUAGUUCAAAGCCGUGGAAAGCUGACCAACUACAUUUCAAUAUUCUUUAUGGCUGAAUCAUGCACUGCCAAUUUUUUCCUGCAUUUUAUUAUUUGUCCCAAUGAGUUGCUGAAGCAUACCCCUGAUUUCCACCAUGUUGUUAUCUUGUUGCAGAGGGGGUGGUUGAUACACUAGUUGCUGCUGAUUUUGCUAUGGAUAGCCCUUUUGUUUUCUGAUAAGGUACUGGCACUAAUUGGUUUUGAGGGUGCAUACCCCCAGGCUGCUGUAUAUUAGGCUUGACUGCUGGUUUUGCUGCGGUCUCCAUUGUUGUGCUCUUUGCCUCUGACUCCCAUAGUUGUUGACAUAAUUUAUAUCUUCUCGUGCCCCUUGAUUUUCACCUUCUCUGCUCCAUGAACACAUAUAGGACUGAUUAAUACACGGGGUGCAUAGUCCUCUAUUCGUUGUAUCAAUGAUGUGCACCUGAUCUCAUCAAUCUUCUUUGUUAGUAGGUUUAUCUUGGUCAGGAGUGCGGCCAUGUUCUCUUCAUGUGAAUUAUUGGGAUCAAGAGGAAUUGAAUGCACUAUGGGUGCCAGUGUUGUACCUCUAGUCAUCCACCCCGCAUUUUGUGACAUUUUAUCGAGAAUAAUUUUGCACUCGGUGAAUGUUUUGCUUAAGAAAGCACCUCCAACUGAAGCAUCCACAUUCACUUUCAAGUUGGCAGCUAGGCCUAUGUAGAAUCUCUAGCCGAGCAUGUUGUCUGGAAUGCUAUGAUGAGGACACUUCACUUGCAUCCCUUUGAAUAUUGCCUAUACUGUAAUAUGUCAUCAAUCUGUUGUGCAGUUUGUUAUGCGGAUUGAACUUGUUCAGGAACUACUUGACUAAUUCCUCCCAAGUGUUAAUAGAGUUGAUAGGGAGAAAAUUUAGCCAAGUCUGAGCUAUCCUAGUUAUUGAGAAUGGGAAUAGGAGCAGUUUGAUAGCUUCAAGAGUCACAUUUGGCUGCCUUUGGGUCAUGCAAAUUGACAGAAAAUUUUUCAAGUGUUGUUGCAGGUAUUCAAUGUGUGACCCGAAGAACAGUCCCUUACUCUACAAUAGAUGCAACAUGUUGUUGGUGAUAUGGAAUGUCUCCGCUUGGAUUGCGGGCACAGCUAUGGCAGUUGCCAGAUUGUCAGUUGUAGGUUGUGCUCAGUCAUAAAGUGCAGCUACGGGCACAAAAGGUGCCACCUCUCUGACAUUUAAGUCAGUUUACUCAUUCUUGACAUUACCAUUGACAUUAUUUACGUCACCUAUGUCAAAUUUGAGUUGGUGUGUUUAUUGAGGUUGUUGAAUUCCUUUGUUGGCACGGUUCAACGCCCUGAAUAAUUUUUCGGGGUUAGCGAUUCCUUCUAGUAGUUCUCCAGUCCUCAAAGAAUUUCGAGGCAUACACCUGCUUUUCACAAGAUUUCAAACGUUAGAAUGUCAAUGAAAAGAUUGGGUAUAGAAAAAACUGACUACACUUAGAAGUUUUGUAUUUCUUUCAAUUGUAAUUGAUAACACCAUUAAUUCCCCGGCAACGACACCAAAAUUUGAUCACGCUCAACUGAGUCUCACAAAAUAAUAUGCGGGCGUUGCAAAUAUAAUCUGAGUAUUAUAGCCUAGAGUCGAACCACAGGGAAUUAACCUAUCAAUUACUAUUAUUAAAUUUACUAAAUCCACAAAAUCUAUUUUCCCAAACUUUUUGAUUCACAAGUAAUUAUUUUUCUAAUAAAGACUGCAAGUAAUUAACAACUGAAAAUUAACUAAACUUGAUGUGUAAACAGUUGGAAUAAGGUCUAAGGUAAUGGUUUCUCCCGUUGGUAAUUUCCUUGGUUGUAUAUGUCUUAUAAUUAUGAGUUAGUUGUCUCUAUCAAUCAUGAACGCUUCAUCUAUUAUAAAUCUUUCUCAAGUAAUUAUGAUAAUUUACUAGACGCACUCUCUUAAGAUACGCUAGCUGGAUUCACAAUACAGUUCACUUCGAUUGCACCCGAUGUAUCGUUAUCUCUAAUCCAACCUCUAAACCCUCGGUUAUGACUCUCGUCUAUACUCUGGGAGUGAUGUUGUUCAUAUAAUCACCUAAAUAUGCUCUCUCUCUCUCUCUCUCUCUCUCUCUCUCUCUCUCUCUCUCUAGCAGAUACAUACUAUUAGGGGUGGAUAAUUGAGGGCCCUUUCAACUAACCACAAUCAAAAUGUAGAUGAAAAAAUAGAGAUUAACAAAUCCAGGAGUGAUGUUAUUCAUACAGUCACCUAAUUAUGCACUCUCUCUCAAUUAGAUACAUAAUAAAUAGGAACGAACAAUUGAUGGCCCUUUCAACUAACCACAAUCAAUUCAUAGAUGAACAAAUAUAGAUUAACCUUAAAAUCCAACUAUAUUAAAU
rnacentral:lncRNA from 1 species